rnacentral:rRNA from 1 species
UACGGAGGAUCCAAGCGUUAUCCGGAAUCAUUGGGUUUAAAGGGUCCGUAGGCGGGUUUAUAAGUCAGUGGUGAAAGUUUGCGGCUCAACCGUAAAAUUGCCAUUGAUACUGUAGAUCUUGAAUUAGUGUGAAGUGGUUAGAAUGUGUAGUGUAGCGGUGAAAUGCAUAGAUAUUACACAGAAUACCAAUUGCGAAGGCAGAUCACUAACACUAUAUUGACGCUGAGGGACGAAAGCGUGGGGAGCGAACAGGAUUAGAUACCCCCGUA